rnacentral:rRNA from 1 species
GACGAACGCUGGCGGCGUGCCUAAUACAUGCAAGUCGAACGCAGUGGGGACGGGUGAGUAACACGUGGGUAACCUCCCCUCAGAGGGGAUACCACUUGGAAACAGGUGCUAAACCGAUACUGAUGGAUGGACCCGCGGUGCAUUAGCUAGUUGGUGAGGUAACGGCUCACCAAGGCCACGAUGCAUAGCCGACCUGAGAGGGUGAUAGUCCACACGGGUACGGAGACACGCCCCAGACUCCUACGGGAGGCAGCAGUAGGGAAGCUUCGGCAAUGGAUGAAAGUCUGACCGAGCAACGCCGCGUGAGUGAAGAAGUUUUUCGGAUCGUAAAACUCUGUUGUUAGAGAAGCGGUAGCUAACCAGAAAGCCACGGCUAACUACGGGCCAGCAGCCGCGGUAAUUG